GUGAGGAAUAUUGCGCAAUGGGCGAAAGCCUGACGCAGCGACGCCGCGUGGGUGAUGAAGGCCUUCGGGUCGUAAAGCCCUUUUCUGCGUGACGAGAGAGGACGGUAGCGCAGGAACAAGUCUCGGCUAACUACGUGCCAGCAGCCGCGGUAAAACGUAGGAGGCGAGCGUUAUCCGGAGUUACUGGGCGUAAAGAGCGUGUAGGCGGAUGUGCAAGUCUGGCGUGAAAGCUCCCGGCUAAACUGGGAGAGUGCGCUGGAGACUGCAGAUCUAGAGGCAGGUAGAGGGACGUGGAAUUCCGGGUGUAGUGGUGAAAUGCGUAGAGAUCCGGAGGAACACCAGUGGCGAAGGCGACGUCCUGGGCCUGACCUGACGCUGAGACGCGACAGCACGGGGAGCGAACGGGAUUAGAAACCCCGGUAGUCC
rnacentral:rRNA from 1 species